rnacentral:rRNA from 1 species
CCUACGGGGUGCAGCAGUCGAGAAUCAUUCACAAUGGGGGAAACCCUGAUGGUGCGACGCCGCGUGGGGGAAUGAAGGUCUUCGGAUUGUAAACCCCUGUCAUGUGGGAGCAAAUUAAAAAGAUAGUACCACACGAGGAAGAGACGGCUAACUCUGUGCCAGCAGCCGCGGUAAUACAGAGGUCUCAAGCGUUGUUCGGAAUCACUGGGCGUAAAGCGGGCGUAGGCUGUUUCGUAAGUCGUGUGUGAAAGGCGCGGGCUCAACCCGCGGACGGCACAUGAUACUGCGAGACUAGGGUAAGGGAGGGGGAACCGGAAUUCUCGGUGUAGCAGUGAAAUGCGUAGAUAUCGAGAGGAACACUCGUGGCGAAGGCGGGUUCCUGGACAUUAACUGACGCUGAGGCACGAAGGCCAGGGGAGCGAAAGGGAUUAGAUACCCUGGUAGUC